rnacentral:rRNA from 1 species
UACGUAGGGUGCGAGCGUUAAUCGGAAUUACUGGGCGUAAAGCGUGCGCAGGCGGUUGUGCAAGACAGAUGUGAAAUCCCCGGGCUUAACCUGGGAACUGCAUUUGUGACUGCACGGCUAGAGUGUGUCAGAGGGGGGUAGAAUUCCACGUGUAGCAGUGAAAUGCGUAGAUAUGUGGAGGAAUACCGAUGGCGAAGGCAGCCCCCUGGGAUAACACUGACGCUCAUGCACGAAAGCGUGGGGAGCAAACAGG